GUGGAUUCAAGCGACAGUGAUCAGAAAGAAAUGCUGACUUAAAUUAUUGCUAUAGAGAUACGUUAGCACGUCGUAGGGUCUGCGCGCUGACGGGCGCCAUCUCCAGAGGUCACAGGAGGUUGUCUUAUCCUGUCACCCUCGGGCGGACACCCGAGUGCUGGCGGCGCGCCCCGGACGUCAUUCAUCAAGUGCUGAAGGUCUCUCCGAACUGCCCACAAGGUGUGUGAUCCAACCUUACCUGCCAUAAGGUCCCUAGAUAAAACAAGUUGAAGGCCUCUCCGAACUACCCACCAGGUGUGUGCUACAAGCUUAUCUGCCAUAAGGUCCCUAGAUAAAACAAGUUGAAGGCCUCUCCGAACUACCCAACAGGUGUGUGCUCCAAGCUUAUCUGCCACAAAGUCCCAAGAUAAAACAAGUUGAAGGCCUCUCCGAACUACCCACUAGAUGUGUGCUCCAAGCUUACCUGCCAAAAGGUCCCUAGAUAAAACAAGUUGAAGGCCUCUCCGAACUACCUA